GGGCUCUCUUGCUCUGCAGAAACAGCCUCUGCAACUCAGAACUUCUCCUUUAGAACAGAACCCAGGGGAUCUCACACAUCACCUCCUUGAUAGGUUGGUGAAGUUGUCUGUGGAGGAAAGUUAUCAUUUGCAGAGGAGCAGAAGACAGACAACCUCUGAUCGUCACACCCACAGCACAUCAUGGAAAAUUUGACUUCAACACCUAGCAAAGGUAAAAUAACAGGAGCAUGGAAAAGACCUUUCCCUUGCUGUGCACCUAGAGGUCAAGUUUUAAUGUCAGCUCUCCAGACUCUCAAACAUCUCUUUCGUAAAGUACACUUAUGGCCAUUCAAUAAGGAAGUGAAAUUGGAGUCAUCCUGUUAAACUAACUGUUUAUGGUAUAUUUAACUAGCCAAAAUUCUGCUAGAUGCCUCUGCUAAAAAAGGGCAGCACUGGUCCAACAUAUUUCAUCUGGAUCUGCUUCUGAGCACUGUAAUCUUGUUUCCAGAUUUUUAAGUGUAUCCUUACCUACCAACCUAUCAAUUAUGUGUAUAUAAUGUGCUCAGAAAAUAUGCUGCACUGCUCCUUUUUACCUUUUGCUUCAAAAUAUUCCUGAGGCAUCUGGUCUCAGACGAAGGCAACAUUGAAAGGGCUUAAAUCUGAUUUCUCAGACAGCUCUACUAAUUUAACUAAAGUGGCUACAAGAAAGCAUGGAACAAAAAUCUAUAAAAUAUUUGGCUGACAUUUGAAAAAAAGAGAUAGGAUGUUUUCUUGUUAACCUUUAGAGCAGCCCAUUACAUAAAUUGUGACAAUGUUCUCAGAUUAAAUGAGACUGUAUUCUGGUUUAGCUCUAGAUUUAUCACUUCAGCAAAUGAAUUCUACUGUACAGUCUGGCAAUAUAUCUUUUGUAAAAUGCUGUUUAUCUCACUGGGGAAGCAGAGUGCUGAUAAAUAUGGAGCACAGCCUUUUGAAUGAAACAUGGUAAAGAUGGAUGGGAAAGAAGAUUCUUCAGUGUAAGAAUAUUCCACUGAUUAAUAUUAGUGAUUUCUUAUAGCCCUUCUGUAAGUUUCAACUCUAUAAACAGAAGGAACAAAAGCUUGUUGCAGAAAUCUAAAA